GCUUGCUACUCUGCUGUCGAGCGGCGGACGGGUGAGUAAUGCUUGGGAAUAUGCCUUAUGGUGGGGGACAACAGUUGGAAACGACUGCUAAUACCGCAUGAUGUCUACGGACCAAAGUGGGGGACCUUCGGGCCUCACGCCAUAAGAUUAGCCCAAGUGGGAUUAGCUAGUUGGUGAGGUAAUGGCUCACCAAGGCGACGAUCCCUAGCUGGUUUGAGAGGAUGAUCAGCCACACUGGGACUGAGACACGGCCCAGACUCCUACGGGAGGCAGCAGUGGGGAAUAUUGCACAAUGGGCGCAAGCCUGAUGCAGCCAUGCCGCGUGUGUGAAGAAGGCCUUCGGGUUGUAAAGCACUUUCAGUAAGGAGGAAAGGUUAAGUGUUAAUAGCGCUUAGCUGUGACGUUACUUACAGAAGAAGCACCGGCUAACUCCGUGCCAGCAGCCGCGGUAAUACGGAGGGUGCGAGCGUUAAUCGGAAUUACUGGGCGUAAAGCGUACGCAGGCGGUUUGUUAAGCGAGAUGUGAAAGCCCCGGGCUCAACCUGGGAACUGCAUUUCG
rnacentral:rRNA from 1 species